GAUCCUGGCUCAGGAUGAACGCUAGCUACAGGCUUAACACAUGCAAGUCGAGGGGAAACGACGAUUGAAAGCUUGCUUUUAAUGGGCGUCGACCGGCGCACGGGUGCGUAACGCGUAUCGAACCUGCCCUUUACUCAGGGAUAGCCUUGCGAAAGUAAGAUUAAUACCUGAUAGUGUUGCGAUGAGGCAUCUUGUUGCAACUAAAGAUUUACUGGUAAAGGAUGGCGAUGCGUCUGAUUAGG
rnacentral:rRNA from 1 species